UCGAGCGAGUCUGCCUUGAAGAUCGGAGUGCUUGCACUCUGUGAAACAAGAUACAGGCUAGCGGCGGACGGGUGAGUAACACGUGGGUAACCUGCCCAAGAGAUCGGGAUAACACCUGGAAACAGAUGCUAAUACCGGAUAACAACAGAUGAUGCCUAUCAACUGUUUAAAAGAUGGUUCUGCUAUCACUCUUGGAUGGACCUGCGGUGCAUUAGCUAGUUGGUAGGGUAACGGCCUACCAAGGCGAUGAUGCAUAGCCGAGUUGAGAGACUGAUCGGCCACAUUGGGACUGAGACACGGCCCAAACUCCUACGGGAGGCAGCAGUAGGGAAUCUUCCACAAUGGACGCAAGUCUGAUGGAGCAACGCCGCGUGAGUGAAGAAGGGUUUCGGCUCGUAAAGCUCUGUUGUUGGUGAAGAAGGACAGGGGUAGUAACUGACCUUUGUUUGACGGUAAUCAAUUAGAAAGUCACGGCUAACUACGUGCCAGCAGCCGCGGUAAUACGUAGGUGGCAAGCGUUGUCCGGAUUUAUUGGGCGUAAAGCGAGUGCAGGCGGUUCGAUAAGUCUGAUGUGAAAGCCUUCGGCUCAACCGGAGAAUUGCAUCAGAAACUGUCGAGCUUGAGUACAGAAGAGGAGAGUGGAACUCCAUGUGUAGCGGUGAAAUGCGUAGAUAUAUGGAAGAACACCGGUGGCGAAGGCGGCUCUCUGGUCUGUUACUGACGCUG
rnacentral:rRNA from 1 species